rfam:Parcubacteria (Moranbacteria) bacterium GW2011_GWC2_40_12 TT79_C0002, whole genome shotgun sequence.
GCGGGUAUAGUAUAAUGGUUAUUAUGCGACUCUUCCAAAGUCGAUAUGCGGGUUCGAUUCCCGCUACCCGCU